ensembl:antisense Med9os mediator complex subunit 9, opposite strand
AGGCGACGGGUGUCGGGGAAGCUAAAUUGAGUAGUCAGGAUUAGGGAAUCUACUCCAGUCAUCUUUCUAGUUCACAUGACAGAGAGAGGUCAAAACACCAACGAGGACCCCCGGGACUGGCAGGAAGAACGGAUGACGCUGGUGAGCACCGUGUGAAACUGAGGCUCUGCGGCAGCGAGCAUCCAGAUGACAAGGACUUACACGUCUUUGUGUCAUGCUAGCCUCCAGGAGGGCCCCAGACUGGCGACAGCAAAACAGGCCAUACAAACUAGUUCCACACGGCUGCCAAGGGGAAAACUAAUCGUUCUUCAAGCAUUUGGGGAAGGGCCAUGAUUCCUGAGGAAGAAGGGAGAAGAGAAUGGUCUAAGAUGGAACCAGGUGUGCCAGAAAAGACUUGAAGACACCUCUGGAGACAUCUGGGAGAAUGCAUGGUAAAACGGCAGUGUUAGCAAACAGUAGCUAUCACUACUACUGUGGAAUGAAAGUGACGAGAAACCAUUAAAACCCUCAUUUAAUCCACCGAGAAA